rnacentral:rRNA from 1 species
GACGAACGCUGGCGGCGGGCUUAACACAUGCAAGUCGAACGGAAAGGCCCUGCUUUUGUGGGGUGCUCGAGUGGCGAACGGGUGAGUAACACGUGAGUAACCUGCCCUUGACUUUGGGAUAACUUCAGGAAACUGGGGCUAAUACCGGAUAGGAGCUCCUGCUGCAUGGUGGGGGUUGGAAAGUUUCGGCGGUUGGGGAUGGACUCGCGGCUUAUCAGCUUGUUGGUGGGGUAGUGGCUUACCAAGGCUUUGACGGGUAGCCGGCCUGAGAGGGUGACCGGCCACAUUGGGACUGAGAUACGGCCCAGACUCCUACGGGAGGCAGCAGUGGGGAAUAUUGCACAAUGGGCGCAAGCCUGAUGCAGCAACGCCGCGUGCGGGAUGACGGCCUUCGGGUUGUAAACCGCUUUCGCCUGUGACGAAGCGUGAGUGACGGUAAUGGGUAAAGAAGCACCGGCUAACUACGUG